rnacentral:RNase_P_RNA from 1 species
GUUUGCCGGAUGGUCGCUGGUGAGGCGAUAGUCUCACGAGAGGAAAGUCCGGGCAGUGUAGAGCAACGACAGUCGCUAACGGCGACCGGGGGUGACCCUAGGGAAAGUGCCACAGAAACGAUACCGCCCAGCACCUUUGUUGGUCUCGUACGAAACAGUUGCGUGCGAAAUCAGCAAAGGUGCCGGGUAAGGGUGAAAGGAGUGAGGUAAGAGCUCACAGUCGGGUGCGGUGACGCAUCAGAGAGGUAAACCCUGUUGACUGCAAGGAGAUCGGACUACUGGUGGCUCGCCAGCCGAUCGUUUUAACCCGCUAGACGUGAUUAGCAAUAGUCAUGGUAGAUAGAUGGCCAUCUAAACAGGACCCGGCUUAUAGGCAGACUGG